rnacentral:lncRNA from 1 species
CAGGGCCCAGCAGCAGGGCUGGUUCUUGUCUGGGUUCCACCUACCCCCUGCCCAGGAGAGCAGGGCUGGGCAUCCUCUGGACAUGCCCUGGGCUCCCACAGGCGCUGGUGGGGACUGGGGUACUGCUGGUGCUCAUCUUCUUCCCCCUUGCCUGAUGGCAUGGGAGGAAUCUCAUGCAGAGGAUUCCACAUCUAAGGAACUCCAUAAUGAAGGAGGUUAUCAUCCAGGAGUUAUGCCCAGCUUGCUUUUAAACCUGCAAAGGGAAGAUAAUGUGAACAAAGCAGUGAUGGCUCUCAGGUUCCUCCCCAGGCAUCAGGAGAGGAGUGGGGCUGUUUUGGAUCACCUGAGCACAGGGCUGGAUGCAACUGGGUGCUCAACAUCUAAAAGGGAUGGCGAAAUAAAUUACACAGAUCUCUGUGCAAGUCUGAUCAAGCUCUGAAAGGUGAGCUCACCCAUGACUCUUGCUCUCCAGCAGUGCUCAGCAGCUCCUGGGAGACCUGGAGAUCUCCGUGGCCAUCCCCUUCUGCCAGUUGGGGUUUAGACAUCUUCCCCUUGUCCCUUCAGUUGGUCUCCAAAGAGCUGCAUUUCAGUUUAGUGCCACUUUUGGAAAU